ACCCCGUCGUGGCACGGCCACCACCAGCGCGACGUCCGUCCUCGCGUGCGUGCGUGCCAUCUUUGUCACUGCCCCCGUACGUGCGUGCGGCGCGCGAAUCCGAGCUCCCGUCAUCCACACGCCGGGGCGGUUAGGAUCCGGUUCCCGAUCGGCGCCGGCACGGGGAGAUCCGCCCGGAAAACGACCCGGGAAAGCUCCAAAGCUGGCCAGGGCCGGGAUGGGGAAAGGAAGAGGGAGCGCCUGACCGCCGCGAGCCCAUGGCUGUUGUCGGAGCGGUGGCGGCGGCUCCGGCUCCAGGCGGCCCGGAUCCCGCGCGAGGCAGACAAGCCUAGAGAAACGCUAAAUACGGGGAAAUGUGAGGGAAGUCCUUGGACUGCUGAAUCUGCACUCGAGGUUAUCCUAAACUAUUCUGGAGUUUAACAACCACAGCCAUCUAUUCUUGGUCAUAUAUGCAGCCGGACAGUCUUAACCCAAGUUUCAAACUGAAGACUAGACAACACACCAUUAUGGACAUGUGUGCCUGUCCAAAUAGGCAACAACAUCUAAGUGUGUGAUGCAGACAUGCAGUAGUGAUCAAUAUGUGUAAUUAACACAAGACAUGACUAAUUCUUCUAAUUACUUCCCCGUAAGAUCGUUGGAACAUGUUAGUGCUACUUCUCUCUGAAGCAGCACUAAGCAAUUUCUUUAUCUGGAAUCUGAUGGAAGUUCAACAAAGAUGGACACCACUGCUUUUGCACUGGAGGUUGUCCUAAACUAUUCAGGAGCUUACAGACAACUUCCAUGUAUUCUUGGUCAGAAAUGCAGUCAGGCAGACUUAACGACAGCGAUGUCGGAGGUUUGGUCGACCAUUUUGUUCCAGGCUUGGAUUGCAAUUUUCUGGAAGCACGUUCAAGCCGUGACAGUGUUGUGACUGCAGAACUCAGCAGGGCAAAUUUCAGUUUAUGCUCGCUCACAUCACCUUGAUGCAUGCUCAUCAUUGGAUCCCAGUGUUGCAGGUGUUUGACGAGAAGGUAAACGGUUUGGUGCAGGGAUCAAUCAAGAUAUAAUGUAUAGUGAUUGUGGAUCAUGAUGAGUUGAAAUACAGGAGGUGGCUCAGCUCAGAUUCUACCGUGAGCCAAGUCUGAUCUUUGGGCCUGCAGGGUGUUGCAUACAAACAUCAACGAGUCAAAUCUCAGUUUUGCUCACGCCACAUUGGGUGUGUCCCGGGAGA